GACGGAGGAUGCAAGCGUUAUCCGGAAUGAUUGGGCGUAAAGCGUCCGCAGGUGGCAAAUCAAGUCUGCUGUUAAAGCGCAGGGCUUAACUCUGUAAAGGCAGUGGAAACUGAUUAGCUAGAGUGUGGUAGGGGCAGAGGGAAUUCCCAGUGUAGCGGUGAAAUGCGCAGAUAUCAGGAAGAACACCCGUGGCGAAGGCGGUUCUCUGGGACGGUACUGACGCUGAGGAGCGAAAGCGUGGGGGAGCAAACAGG
rnacentral:rRNA from 1 species